CAGUAGCCAUGGGAAUACGGAGGGUGCAAGCGUUAAUCGGAAUUACUGGGCGUAAAGCGCACGCAGGCGGUCUGACAAGUCAGAUGUGAAAUCCCCGGGCUUAACCUGGGAACUGCAUUUGAAACUGUCAGGCUGGAGUCUUGUAGAGGGGGGUGGAAUUCCAGGUGUAGCGGUGAAAUGCGUAGAGAUCUGGAGGAAUACCGGUGGCGAAGGCGGCCCCCUGGACAAAGACUGACGCUCAGGUGCGAAAGCGUGGGGAGCAAACAGGAUUAGAUACCCGCGUAGUCCCUGUCUCUUAUAC
rnacentral:rRNA from 1 species